UACGUAGGGGGCGAGCGUUGUCCGGAUUCAUUGGGCGUAAAGAGCUCGUAGGCGGCUUGGCAAGUCGGGUGUGAAAACUCCAGGCUCAACCUGGAGAGGCCACCCGAUACUGCCAUGGCUAGAGUCCGGUAGGGAGAAUGGAAUUCCCGGUGUAGCGGUGAAAUGCGCAGAUAUCGGGGAGGAACACCAGACGCGAAGGCGGAGCA
rnacentral:rRNA from 1 species